AACGUAGGUGGCAAGCGUUAUCCGGAUUCACUGGGCGUAAAGCGCACGCAGGUGGCAUGGCAGGUAGGGCAUGAAAACUCCUGGCUUAACUAGGAGAGGCUGUCCUAAACCGCCGAGCUUGAGGGUGAGAGAGGGAAGUGGAAUUGCCGGUGUAGUGGUGAAAUGCGUUGAUAUCAUCAGGAACACCGGUGGCGAAAGCGGCUUACUGGGUCUCUUCUGACGCUGAGAAACGAAAGCUAGGGUAGCGAACGGG
rnacentral:rRNA from 1 species